GACGAACGCUGGCGGCGUGCUUAACACAUGCAAGUCGAACGGAAAGGCCCUGCUUUUGUGGGGUGCUCGAGUGGCGAACGGGUGAUUAACACGUGAGUAACCUGCCCUUGACUUUGGGAUAACUUCAGGAAACUGGGGCUAAUACCGGAUAGGAGCUCCUGCUGCAUGGUGGGGGUUGGAAAGUUUCGGCGGUUGGGGAUGGACUCGCGGCUUAUCAGCUUGUUGGUGGGGUAGUGGCUUACCAAGGCUUUGACGGGUAGCCGGCCUGAGAGGGUGACCGGCCACAUUGGGACUGAGAUACGGCCCAGACUCCUACGGGAGGCAGCAGUGGGGAAUAUUGCACAAUGGGCGGAAGCCUGAUGCAGCAACGCCGCGUGCGGGAUGACGGCCUUCGGGUUGUAAACCGCUUUCGCCUGUGACGAAGCGUGAGUGACGGUAAUGUGUAAAGAAGCACCGGCUAACUACGUG
rnacentral:rRNA from 1 species